CCAUCAGCUACAAGGGGUGAAAAAAAAAGACAGGAUUAGGAAAACCCAUUUUGAGCAUUGUAAAAAGGUUCCGCAACGCCAUUCCUCUAUUUCUCUCGUGUUCUCAAGGCUCUCCAUUUCUUUCUACUUAAUAGAAUGCCUCUUGAGAGGAUGUACCUGAUCAAGUGCGGAUGAAUGUAUAUUCAAGGACGUUCAUCUUAGAGUUGUUUACUCAUAAGAAAAUGCAGAGAAGAGGAGUCCACCAUAUGCCUUUUAUUUCAUAUUUUCUUCAUAAAUCCUUUGGCAAGAACCUCCAAUACUACGUUGAAUAGAACUGGUGAGAGCAAACACUUCUGCGUCACUCUUGACCUCAGGGGGAAAGUUUUCAGUGUUUCCCCGGUAAGUAUGAUGUUAAGGAUUUUAAGCAGUAGACUGAAGCAUUACAAGAUGGGAAGACAUGGAAAUGAAGGUCAAUAACCGAGAGAUCCACUCUCUCUGCGUUAUAAACCGAGGUCAAAUAUAUCAUCAUUAUAUUUAGUGUCUGUUACGUCUUUCAGUAUGUUGUGUCUCUCCACACCUAACAGUCUCUACAAGGAAGAGGCAGUUCCUAGGCUCCUGCUUCCGGUGAGAUCACUUAUCUCCCAGCCCCCUACACCACCUCCGCGGAAAGACAAAAGCAGUAGUUCCAUCACCAAGAGAACAGUUUCCAAGAGAACUUUACUCGCCUCUUUGCUAUCACACCACCAGGGACCACAGAAGAGAAUAAUGACCCAGUGGCCCCAUACUUCCCGUCUAGCUGCCCACUUCCCUAACAUUCAGGAUUUCCCCCAUCAUGCCUCACGCUCCUGUAAACCUCACUCACUACUAGAAUGGCAAGCCCCCCAAGCCAUUCGCUUAUCUGACCCAGCAUCCCAUAAUUCCUUGACCUCCAACACCCCUGUACCAUACACCUGUUCUUUCCCUCCAUCACCUUGAUCUUGUAUCAAGUGUCCCUCAUCCUCUUUUAUAUCAGAAAUCUGGGGGUGCCUGGGUGGCUUGGUCAGUUAUGCGUCCAACUUUGGCUCAGGUCAUGAUCUCAUGGUUCAUGAGUUUGAGCCCUGCGUUGGGCUCUGAUAGCUCAGAGGCUAGAGCUGCUUCAGAUUCUGUGUCUCCCUCGCUCUCUGCCCUCUCCUGCUUGUGCUCAUCUCUCUCUCUUUCUCAAAAAUAAAUAUUAAUUUUUUUUUAAAACAAAGAGAAAUCUGGCUACACCUAGUGAGCCCAUUUCUCCUGCAGGCCUCCGACUCAAUGCUAUUUUUUUUUUCUGACAACAAAUUACCACCACCUUAGCAGUUUAAUCAACACAAAUCUAUUGGCUCACAGUUCCGUCAGUGAGAAGUACUUUUCUUCGUGACUGGAUCCUUUGGGACAUUCAAAUAUCAGUUUAAACAUCACUUCCUAAAUAAAGCUGUCCCCAACCUUCCAUCUUUAGCCUCUCAGUGACUUCCUCUCACUUAACCCUAUUUUAAUUCUCCACAUAGUUUUUUUCGUUGCCUAAUGUUUUUAUUUAUUACUUAUGUCUUAGUAUAUUAUAAGUUCUCCAUUAAAAUAUUUACUUGGAACUUUUUCUCCCCUUUAUCUGGUAAUUUUACCAUUCUCCACUAUUACACCUAACAGUAUUUGCAGUUGGUUCUAGGUAGAUAACCUAACAUUUGAAAACAAUGACGAUUUUGUAAUUUCUUCUCUG